rnacentral:rRNA from 1 species
GAGGAGGAGCCCGGAGAUGGGCACUGAGACAAGGGCCCAGGCCCUAUGGGGCGCAGCAGGCGCGAAACCUCUGCAAUAGGCGAAAGCUUGACAGGGUUACUCUGAGUGAUUUCCGCUAAGGGAAUCUUUUGGCACCUCUAAAAAUGGUGCAGAAUAAGGGGUGGGCAAGUCUGGUGUCAGCCGCAGCGGUAAUACCAGCACCCCGAGUGGUCGGGACGAUUAUUGGGCCUAAAGCAUCCGUAGCCGGUCCUGCAAGUCUUCCGUUAAAUCCAGCUGCUCAACAGAUGGGCUGCGGGAGAUACUACAGGGCUAGGAGGCGGGAGAGGCAAGCGGUACUUUAUGGGUAGGGGUAAAAUCCGCUGAUCCAUAGAAGACCACCAGUGGCGAAGGCGGCUUGCCAGAACGCGCUCGACGGUGAGGGAUGAAAGCUGGGGGAGCAAACCGGAUUAGAUACCCGGGUAGUCCCAGCUGUAAACGAUGCAGACUCGGUGAUGGGUUGGCCUCGCGCCUGCCCAGUGCCGCAGGGAAGCCGUUAAGUCUGCCGCCUGGGGAGUACGGUCGCAAGACUGAAACUUAA